rnacentral:rRNA from 1 species
AGUGAACGCUGGCGGUAGGCCUAACACAUGCAAGUCGAACGGUAGCACAGUAAGAGCUUGCUCUUACGGGUGGCGAGUGGCGGACGGGUGAGGAAUACAUCGGAAUCUACUUUUUCGUGGGGGAUAACGUAGGGAAACUUACGCUAAUACCGCAUACGACCUACGGGUGAAAGCAGGGGAUCUUCGGACCUUGCGCGAUUGAAUGAGCCGAUGUCGGAUUAGCUAGUUGGCGGGGUAAAGGCCCACCAAGGCGACGAUCCGUAGCUGGUCUGAGAGGAUGAUCAGCCACACUGGAACUGAGACGCGGUCCAGACUCCUACGGGAGGCAGCAGUGGGGAAUAUUGGACAAUGGGCGCAAGCCUGAUCCAGCCAUACCGCGUGGGUGAAGAAGGCCUUCGGGUUGUAAAGCCCUUUUGUUGGGAAAGAAAAGCAGCAGGUUAAUACCCCGCUGUUCUGACGGUACCCAAAGAAUAAGCACCGGCUAACUUCGUG